rnacentral:snRNA from 1 species
GUAUUGUAUGAAAGGAGAGAAAGUUAGCACACACCUUGAUAU